rnacentral:miRNA from 11 species
GCGUGAAGGCUUCAGCCUGGUUCAAGUAAUCCAGGAUAGGCUGUUACCAGGCAGUACGGCCUAUUCUUGAUUACUUGUUUCAGGAGGCGGCCCC